CGCGUGAGAAUCUGCCUUCAGGUCUGGGACAACAGAAGGAAACUUCUGCUAAUCCCGGAUGAGCCCUUGGGUAAAAGAUAAAUNUGCCNGGAGAUGAGCUCGCGUCUGAUUAGCUAGUUGGUGAGGUAAAAGCUUACCAAGGCGACGAUCAGUAGCUGGUCUGAGAGGAUGAGCAGCCACACUGGGACUGAGACACGGCCCAGACUCCUACGGGAGGCAGCAGUGGGGAAUUUUCCGCAAUGGGCGAAAGCCUGACGGAGCAAGACCGCGKGGGGGAGGANAGGCUUUAGGGUUGUAAACCCCUUUUCUUUGGGAAGAAKUUCNUGACGGUACCAAAGGAAUCAGCCUCGGCUAACUCCGUGCCAGCAGCCGCGGUAAUACGGAGGAGGCAAGCGUUAUCCGGAAUGAUUGGGCGUAAAGCGUCCGCAGGUGGCCAUGUAAGUCUGCUGUCAAAACCCAGGGCUCAACUCUGGUCAGGCAGUGGAAACUACAAAGCUAGAGUCUGGUAGGGGCAAAGGGAAUUCCCGGCGUAGCGGUGAAAUGCGUAGAUUUCGGGAARAACAUCGGUGGCNAAAGCGCUUUGCUAGACCANAACUGACACUCAGGGACNAAAGCUAGGGGAGCGAAGGGGA
rnacentral:rRNA from 1 species